CCCCCAGCCCCCCGCUUAAUCCGCGUGCUACUCGUGUGCAUUCGAUUUGGUAAGGGGGCGCUGUGCGGUUUGAUCGGGGUUUUUCUGGGGGUGCAGUCCAGCCUCGCGGGUGCGUUGAUGCUCGGGGAUUUAGGAGGAAUUCGAGGGUCGGGGCGCGAGGUCGGGGGUUCCCUUAGCUGCUGCGUCGCGGUCAAAACAAUAGUAAUGGGGGAUUUGGGGUCGCUGACCGCUCGGCGCGGUCAUAGUUACCUCGGCUGGAUUAGUGCGAUUGAGCGGCACGGUGCAUCGAUUCUGCGCGGGAAAGCGUAGUGGCUGCUGUGAGAGUGCCCCGGAUCUCCUAAUCCGUAGUGGUCCCUUCACUACAUUUUUUUUUAAAAUUCUGUCCUGACUCCGCUUUCCUCUUUCUGCAAUGGUUCCGGAAGAAAGGCGUGCUGCAAUCAUAGUUGAUCGCUCGUUGAUCCUUAUGUAUUCUAGCUGUUUGCUUCCUCUCUAUCAUCUAAUCCUACCACGCUUCUUAAAUAAUUCAAAUCCCACAGUUGUGCCUCCUAUACCUUUGUAGUGAAUUUCUAGUCCCCCCCAAUCUAUCACUAACUUAAGCUUCUACAGAUAGAACGUGGGUAUGUCUUGGUAUGGUUGGUCUCUGAUUGGACUGGUAUCAUGAGGUCAUGUUAUUUAGGAUGGAAGCACAGUCUCGGCAAAUGGGGAAUGCUCCUGAUCACUGCCCGUCUCAGUUCUGAAGCUUGUUUUGUUAUAUGGCCAUGGUGGGUUGAUAUCAAACAAUCCUUAUUGUCAGGCGAUAUUUGCAUCACUAUGUCUCAGCUAUCGAUCAAUCUGUUUUGACCCAUUGCUUCUUUUUAUAACCCUUCUGUUGAAUUGACCCCUCUCCACUUUUAACACUAUGUCACUAUGGUUCAGCUUGUACCUGUAAUUUUCCAAUUGAAGCUGUCUGACUGCAUGGAUGACUAAUUGGCGUCUAGCUGUUUUAGGAAUCAGUUUCCCUGUCCCAGGUUUACUUACUCUUAAGUUUUGGAACUCCACACAUAUUUGGCAUACCAGGGAAAGUGUUUCGAUAUCUACUUCCAAUCAACCUUGAAGCGCAUUCAUGAGCGACGCUUUUGACCUCUAUAGAUUAUAGUUUUGAAAUUCUUUUCUCAAUCUGCCUUCCUGUUUAUUAGCAAGGCAUCUUUGGUAACAGAAGCCAGAAAAUAUAUUUACUCUAAAUCUGAAUGUCAUGUAUAUCCACUUAUCUAUCUGUGAUGACAAUUACGUCGAUAUUUUGGUAACAGUUUCUUGUAUGUGUAAGCAUAAACAACAGGAACAGUCAUAAUUGUUAAGCUAUGCACUAGGAAUAUAGUUCAUGCAUCUCUUAACACAUAUUUGAUUGCAAGAUAAAAAUCAUAUGUAUGACUCAUGCUAUGUCUCAGACUUCGAAUGUACCUUCUUCCUGUGACUCUUCUACAGCCAUUAAAUUAUUGAAGGCACACUUUGAUGGUUCAAUACAUGUUGGAACUCUAUAAGUUCCAUCGGACAAAAGAACAUAUAAGUUCUUCAGUCAGUUUUUCUUUAGAAGCAGAAGUAUUGUAUCUUUUAAAGGUACAACACUGUUGUCCUUUGCUUUGAUGGUAAUGCAUGAAAUUUGAAGUUACUAGCGCCAACAUGUCUUCUGCAUCUUCAGGUUAGUGAGAUCUGGCCCCCACAAUAGCCCACCUUCUUGAAAGCAGAUGUAUAAGGCUUAUUAGAGUUGGAGUUCAGUCUUUGGGGACACAAAUUGAUUCUGUUAUUUGUUUGACUUCAAUUUGGGGCAUAUCCGGGCUUUAGGUUGGGUGAGGAACUGUCAUUUCAACGAUUUAUAUGAUGGUCAGGUACUCAGGUUAGUGAAUAGUUUCAGAAUAUUGUAGUUGCAUAUUUGUGCUGGUGAGUAAGAUAUCAAGACCUGGUGAGAAUGUUAAUUCAUUGCGAACCACAUUCACUCUUUUAUUCAGGAGAAAUACAUGCCUGAUGUGAGCAUUCUCUUCUCUCUAGCCCCCACAGUUUGUUGCUCUUCCAUGGUCCAAAUAAAUCUUGAACCAUGGAAUGUGCUUCAUCUGCAGAAUUAUCUAGCUUUCAGUCUUUUCAGGUACUAAUAGUGUAUUAUUAAUUCGAUAAUUUGAAUUGUGCUACUAAUGACAUUGCAGGUACUAGUUGAACGCUGCACAAAAAAUGGAGUUCCUUUUCUUGUUUGACAUCUUGAUUGACCAAAAUCAAGCUCUCAUGAAAGGUCAAACAAAUGGGCAAAAUUUGGGGCUCCUUGAUUAGUUUUUUGCAGUGUUAAGUGGUGAAUACUGCUGUGGCAAAUGGGAGUGAUCCAGUUGGUCUAGGCCUUCUGAGGACAUUGUCCUCAGUAAGAGCAUAUGUUCAACAUCACUGUUGGACUUUUGUUGCCCUUAGAGUGAGAGAUGGCAACUUCUCUUAUAAGAUUGUAACAGCUUUUUUAACUGCAGAAGAGGGCUCCUCUAAUGUGAUUUUUGGAAGAGCUGUUGCUGCUAACUUCAUAUCAUUCUGAGGACUGGAAAAGGUGGACUAGUGCCACUCUUAGCACCUACCACCUAGAACUUUAGCCCAUUGGUUGCUUUGUAUGGUGAAAUACAUUGAUCAAGUAUAAAGGCGAGAAGCGUAGUCUCAUGACCGUCUGUUAACUUAUAGGAGAGCUGAAGAGGGAUAUCGUGACCCGUGGAAGUAUUGGCCAGAGCAGCAUGAUCACCCAGUAGUACUGAUUUGGGUGAUAGAUUUACGGAUAGAUUGGUGUAAAUUUUGGAAAAGAACUUUAAAAGGUUGUUUCAUAUCAAAUUAGUUGAUCCGAAGAUCCUUUCCCAAGUAAAAAACAGCUUAUCACGUAGAACUGGCUGCAGCAAUGGUAGCUGGGCCCAUGAAGUGCCGGUUUCUUUUGAUCACUGGGAGAAUGCCAUUUGCAGAUAGCCAUUGUCAUUGAACGGAAAAAGUGGCUAGUUGAAAUAGGUCAAUUGAUGAUGUUGGAAACAAGAUGCAUUUAUUCUAAGCAGAACAAAAGGAUACCACAAUUUCAAGGCAGAACCAUAGCAAUCUUGUGCCUCUGGUGUUUAUUUACAUCAGCAUGUUUGUACCUGACAUGUUAAUCCAAUGUCUACCUGUCUUCACAUUCCCUGGGGCUUCUGAAGCUGAUAGCUAGCACUAUACUUUCUGCCUUACAUAUCCAUUUUCCCUCCCAUUUUAUAGAAUUUUGUAUAUUUAUAAAUUUCUCUCCCUGUGACUUAGUUCAUUCAGAUGGUUUUUUUUUCAUGCCAUGUAAAGAUAGAAGAUUCUGGCCGAUCUGUUUAUGUUUAAUAGAAUGUAAUAUGAACUGUACUGUUUCAGAAGUGAUGCCAUAUAAUUUAGUUGUACAUUGUUUGAACUUCUUUGACUGCUGCUGUAUUACCAUUUGUACAGAUGCUUUCUUUAUGGUUUUGCCAAUUAAGAUUGGUCCAUUCACUUGGUGUUGAUCAGAGUUCUGGUGUAUGUUUGUACUACUUUACUCUACCAAUGUUGUGAGGCUGUCUUUAUAAGUUAGGUUAGGAUUUUCAUACUUAGUACUGAACCAUUGCGAUAUUUUAUUUGAUCCAAAUAUCCAUAAAUCGUAUAGCUGCUUAUCUAGUGAUUUUUCUAUUGUUCGAGAUAAAACAAUGCUGCAUUUUUAUUGACAUUUUAGUUUCUUUCGUCUUUCAUUAUUUACAUAGUGCGACUUAGCUGAAGUAUAUAUUUUUGGUAGACUUUGAGAUGAUAAUGAUAUGCCAUUUACAGAGUUUCUUCUCAACUUACAUUUACAAUUCCGAAAGCUGUAGGAAAAAAGAAAAUCUGCUACUUUGAGGGUGAAUCUUGGGUUUCCACCUUUAUACAUGUACAAUGAUAUUGCCAUCUCUAGUUUAUAUUUCUGUAAACCAUAUACUUUAGUCAAAAUGCUCUGUAUUUGGCUUCUUAAUUACAUCAGCGUGAUGUUCAAAUGUUUGCAUAGUCUUCUUGGAUAUGAUGGGAACUCCAUUUGUGUUGAGUUUUUUUGCUAAAGUUAGACACUGGAUAUGAUGAAUUAUUGGACUUUUGGCAUCUAACAUGUGUGACUGUAAUAUCACAUCUUGUGGUUCCAAGGCUUGAAUUAUCCUUAUAUUCCAGAAGCCUAAGCAUUUGUGACUAUGUAUAUUUUCUUUUCCUUUUAAUUAACAGCUACAUCUCUGUGUGCAGCUGCAAUUUAUUUUUCUGGAAUACUAAUACGGAGCCUUUAUAAUUUUCCAGGUUAAAGAAAAUCUAAUAUCACUGUUCACUUACUAUGGCGGGACAUCAUAAUAACAACACACAUAUGUCCAGGAUGGAUCAUGUGAACCGGUUCCAGAAUGAACCACUGCCUUUUGGUCCAAAGAUAUUUAUGCAUCCUAGAAGUGAUGCGGUAAAUGGACCUCUAUCACCAGGUUAUGGGGGAGCGACAAUAAGAUCAAAUGACCUUCCAUCCUCAAGCCACAUUGGCCAACCUCAUACCCAGCCGAUUGAAGCCCCUGGAACCAUGCUUGCACCCUACGCUGGCUAUCCUCAUGCUGGAAGCUCCAGUAGCAUCUAUGCACCAGCACCACAUAAUACUCAGCAUCCGCCUGCUUUGAGUUAUCCACAUAGAUCUGAGGAUAGCUUCACUCCAAGUUCCCAUAUGGAUGACAGAAGGGUUGCACAGAAGCGGAAGAACCCAAUUUUUCAUCCAAUGGAUGGAUCCAGUGUUUGGAGCUGUUAUGCUUCUAGUUCGUCUAAUCCUCAAUUCCCCCAGUACAUGCCUCCAAAUCCUAUUCCUGUUACUGAACCCUGCCCUCCUCGAAUGCCCUCAAAUAUGGGUUCAAGCUAUUGGAGUGAUCAUCGCUUUGGUAAUCAUGGAGCAUCUCAGAGGAAUGUAAGAGGGCGACAUGAUCACAAUUCUAUCCAUUUGGGACACAGUCCAGCUGUAGCUUGCUCAUCAAGCAGCACUCAUGGGCCACCACACCAUGGUAAUGCAAUUGGUCCUUCUCUAACUACAGCAGUGCCACAAGAUAGAGCUCCUUUGUCUGUACCUCCAAGACUUGUCCCCCCAGGGGCUGAUGGAAACUCUAGCAUCACAUUCAGAGAGAGACCAUACUAUCCUGCUCCACAGAGGACCAACAUAAAUGCCCCCCCUGUCCCAGCACUUUCUGGUUCUUCUGAUAGCAUGGCCUUUGUGCAUGGUGGAUAUGUACCCCGAGCAAUUCCUCUUAACACCAUCCGCUCUUAUCCUGCCCCAGGAUUUGGGACUUCCUCCAACUCUGCUGCGGUCUCCCAUGAGCCUGGUAUCCCUAGCUAUCCACCUGCUGCCCCUAGCUACCCACCUGCUACCUUUGCAGCAACAUCAAGUGCACCACCAUUUCAUGCGGAAGCUGCUGCAUCUUCAAGACAUCUGGGGCAUGUGGCUCCAGGACCUGGUGGUAGUGCUUGGAGUAGAAGGCUGAGGGAUGCCUACCAUGCUUUCCAUCCGUUGAUCUUUGAGGAAAAUAAUUUGAGAGGAUCAGCAGCUGAGAGGUUUAUGAUGCUGGACCAGUUAGUUAUCCAUGAAUCAAGAGAAGAUUCUGAUCCUCACUGGGACAUGAGAUUGGACAUUGAUGACAUGAGUUAUGAGGAACUGCUCGCUCUGGAGGAGCGUAUAGGCAGCGUCAGCACUGGUUUGGCUGAUGAAAAAAUUUCAAGCUGUGUGAUGGAGGUAACAUGCUGCAGCUCUGCUCGAGCCCAGGAUGGCAUUGGCAAGGAGAACGCAAGAUGCGUGAUUUGCCUGGAGGAAUACAAAUUCAAGGAUUCCAUGGGGAAGCUGAAAUGUGGUCAUGACUAUCACGCCCUGCAUCAAGAAAUGGCUGCAGGUGAAGAGCGUCUGCCCAAUCUGCAAAGCUUCUGUGGCAGACGACAGCGGAGGGACCGAAUGA